ensembl:lncRNA
GUGCGAAUGGUUUUUAGUUUUAGUGAAUUUUUAAAUGAGACAUGUUGAAUGAAGUGACUUUGAUGACAGAUGAUUUUAAGCCAAGAUUUGUUUAUUUUUCCUGAUGGACCUGCACAUCCAACAUGAUAUAGUCAAGGCCCAUUGAAAAGUAGAAAAUGAAACUGCAGAGCAAGUCGGAUGAAGUGAAGAAGGAGCUGGCUCAAGUGUUUGCAGACAUUGAUUUUGAUGUUGAGAUACCAAGCUCCGGCUCCGGCUCCAGCUCAGCGGUCAUAGCUCUGGCCGUCAUGUUGGCCCUGAGCAUCCUGGGAUUGAUCUUUGCUGUUAUCUUCAUCAUCAUCAGGUUCAAGAGGAAGGGCAAACCAGAGGACAAAGAGAGACUUUCCUUUAGCAGUCACACGAACUGGUCUGUGAACAUCACCGAACCAUCUGAGCGGAAAGAGACGAGGAGUCCAGAUGACGAGCAGCAGAAGACGGACAGACAGACAGAUGAAGAUGGGACGGACAGGGACAGCAUGACGGAUAAAAAGCACAGAGACAGUGACAGUAGUGGAAGCCAAACUUCUUAUGUCUGACCUGAACACAGCAGCUUUCUGUCAAACAGUCUGGAGUCUGCAGCGCCACCAGAAUAAUCACACACUAAUUAUUAGAAACAAGCUGCAUGAAGUCAUUUUCAUUCUGAAAUGGCUCAGAGCAUCACAAACUAAGCUUCUCUAAAGCUGUUUGCACACAAACCUGUACUUCCUGCUUUUUGUUCUUAGAUAAUAAGACUCUGCUUUAUUUAUUUCUUCAGUGACUGCUGAGGUUCAGAUCUGAGUACCCAUUGUGUGAUGUCUUCAUCUUUAAAGUAACUAAAGGAAGAAAAAAGUAUUAAAUGGAAAUAUUCAAGUAAAGUUCAAGUACUUCAAAACUGAAUUUAAUUACAGUAUAUAGUAUGAAUGUAUUUAAAUACUUUCUACCACUUCUCAUCCGUUACCCGGCAAUGUCACUAUUCAUUGUUGUGUUUCUGUCCCCCUGAUUAAUUAACGUUCACUCUCUUUUAGCUCUGUUUUUGUUCUCUAACACCUCCUGAGGGGAAUAUCUGGCUCUUUAACUGCUACAUUCUCCAUCAGCUAGUUUCUAAUUUGCACGUCUGCUGUUUGCUGCUAAAAAUGAAGCUACUGAGCACUGAGUUUUCACAUCAUUUCAUGUAUUAUAAAACAUCUGUACUAGUAGCAUCAAAUGGAGAUCACAAAAUG